rfam:Capsicum annuum cultivar Zunla-1 chromosome 7, whole genome shotgun sequence
UGGCUUAUGAUGAUAAAUUAUAAUUAUCUUAGCGGAUUUCAGUGAGAUUUAAUUAUCUAUGAUCUGUUUGUUACACACACUGAGGCCU